CGAGAGAUAGAGAGAGAGAGAGCGAGAGGUGGAAAGGUGGUGAAGUGCUUUACUAUUUCAAUGUCUUUUUUUGUCUCUUCCUCUGUAUCUUUACAGCUAAAGAAACGAGUAAAUUUAUGGCGAGAGAAUUUAGAGAUAGAUAGAGAGAGAAUCCAUCACAUGGAUCCAUGAGCUGGAAACAAGAUUUCUCCAAGGGUUUUCUUGGAUUGCACAAGAGAGAGACUGGCUUCCAUUGACCCAAACAAGAUCUAACACUCCAAUCCAAGGUCUAAUAUAUCUCUCAUAAUUAAGAGAAAAAACCUAAUUCAAAUUCAAAUAUAUAUAUAUAUAUAUAUAUGACUAUUGUUGUGACUGUAAAUUGUUUGAUGGAGAAAAAACAAAGAUUAUCACAUAAUUCAACUCUACAAAACUCACAGAGUUUAGUGGAGUUGGGAUUGCAUUAAGGAGUGUUUGUUGUUGUCUAUCUCCCUUCCCCUUUCUUCUCUAAAGCAUUUAUUGUUGGAAAGGAAACAAUGGUAUUUGUCAUUUUGCAGCUUUAAUGGGUUAACUCUUCCAUUAUCCCCAUCCUUAUCCUUAUUGAUGUUAUCUUGACCACCCAAAAAAAUUAUUUUUUUCUAAAAAUAUUAUUUAUAUUAUUUUUUUAUAAAAAUAAAACACAACACUUUUUGAAUUUUAGUGAAAGGACUGAAUCUCAUGAUUUCUUUUGUUUCUAUAAAUUAUUAUCAUUAAAGUUGUAUGGUUAUUUUGCAUAAUAUUACGAUUCAACAUAUUAAAAAAAUAAAUUAUGAGCUAACCUAAGAACACAUAUAGGUCGAUUGGUACGAUUAAUUAUAGAUUAUCUCUUAUAAUUAGAUAUCUUUUAUAUUUUGAUUCGUAUUCUAUACUUACGAAAUUAAAAUAUUAAGAAUCUAUAGAAGAUUAAAAAGAUAAUUUUAUAAGAAUUUGUUAGAACAAUCAGAUCAAAUAUUUUUAUUUUUAUAAAUAUAAAAAAAUAAUAUAAUUUUUGAAAGUAAAUAUUUGAUAAUUAAUUAUAGAUGAUAAUAUAUAAUUAACCGUUUGACAAUAAGUUGAUACGGUUGAAUAAAAAACGUUGACACUGCUCAAUCUCUAUUACUCGACAUGAUAUGGGAAACCCUAAUUAUGAGCAUGUUUGAAUGGAAACCGACGAAUGGUCCAAUGGAAAAGAUGGAAUGAUAGCAGAAGCAAUCUGAGUUAAUGUGUCUGCUCACCCAUCCGCUCCUCCAUUGCCGUUUGGAAGGUUUUGUCUAUCAUUAACGUUGGAACACUCGACAUGUGAGUGUGAAGCAGUUCCCAAGUGCUCUGACAGCAGACAAAUGGCAGCGAGAGAAACAGAGAGAUUGAUUGAUUGGGACCAUUGGCAGCAAGUGGAGCAGAGAAAGACUUCCCACAAGUCAUGCGGGGGGGGUGAGUGAAUGACAUCGUCGGAUUUAGUCCGUCCCAGAAUCGAUAUUUUCGAUUUAAAAUAAAUAAUUUUAAUUUUAUAGAUUAGAAAUCGAAUUGAUUUUAAAUUAAUUUUAAUUUCAAAAUUAAAAUAAAAAUUUUGAUUUUUAAUCUGAUUUAAUUCCGUCGGAUAAAAUCACCUCGCGAGCAUACGAAUCGCACCAAUGAUCGACUGACCAAAUAGUCCCUUAUCAAUAUGUCUCAAAGAUAAAUAGACGUAAUAUUUUUAUUGAUCCUUUCUUAAAGACUAAAGUGUUUUGAGAUUAGCAAUCAUCCAAAUUAGGAAUCACAAACAAGAAAAAGAAAACCAUGUACUAUAUAUAUACUAAGCUCAUUGGUUUGUAGAGAAUGAAUACACAGCCCAAAAGCUCAAGAACACUCAGCAUCAUCCUAAAUCAUUGAUAGCAAACUAGCAGCAUUCCACUACACUCUACUAAAAAUCUGCUCCGAGACAAAUAGAUCACAAGAGUGAAUUAGUUGACUCAGACUGACAAUGGCUUUUGCGCACCAUUAGAAGUGGAUUCACCAUAGGGCCUUGUGGAGCCAUCAGACUUCCUCUUGAGAACUACAAUCCAGGUAGCAACCUCCAAGAACAAGGCGAUGCCACCUAGAAUGCAAAUGGCAAUGAUGUAUCCCGCUCUCCAUUUAUGAUCGACGCCCAAGAUGUCCAGGCCUUGGAAGACGUUGAUGAUGCCUAAGAUAAUGACUGUGUAUCCCACCAAGUGAUGGUAGAUGUUCCAGUAGAAUCUGUACUUGUGAUCCUUGUUUGGCCUCAGAAAUAGCGCAAACACCUGCGGAGAGUUAAACAAUGAGGCCAAUGCUGCACAUUCAUUCAUCCGAUGUUGCUGCAUCAGAUGUUAAUCCAGACUAAAUUUCAAUCUGUGUUACCUGUAAGGUGGCAAGAGAGAAAAGGGCCAUGCCGAUGCUCCGGUGAGUCGUGUACUCGAUUCCCUUAGAUUUGCUACCAAGACUGAGGCCAGUAGCCCAGCCACCAACUCCAACACCGUAGCCAAUAAUCUGGCAUGUUACAUGAAGAUAAAACCAUGUAGGAUCGGCAGACUCGAAUGUUUUCAGGUAUCUAGAGAAGAUUGCACCAAUUGGAAGCAGAAUCCCCCAACUCACUGCAUUCAGAACUCCAUGUACCUGUGCAGAAGACAAACAUUGAACAUCCAGAUGCAAGCACCAGUCUCUAGGCAAAGCUCAAUUCCAUCAUCUAACACAGCUUUCGUGCUGUAGUUGCUCUAUAGAACAAAUCCUUUUCCAAUUUAAGGUGGUAUUCUAGUGUAAUACAACUUUGCCAAGUGACAAGAAUGCAUAUUUCCAUCUCAAUCAGUAAUGUUUAUAUUAGGAAAAUUGACAAUCACUAUCCCCAAAUCUCAUCAACAUGGAAUUCAUAGAGGUGACAAUGAUCUGUAUGUGACGAUGACGGCAACUUCUCCAAAGAAAAAAGAGCAUGGAUCAUCAUAGUGCUCACUACUGUAGCUUAUCAUGUGUUCUUGAGACCUAUCACUUAUAGGACAAUGCAUAUUAUCAUCGGCUAUCAAAAGCAAGAUUUAAAGUAUUUAUACUCUUUGAGUAUAAGUGGUAAAGUUCAAAGUAUUUAACUAUUGAUUUUUUCCCCCUUAAAUCCUUCUCCACAAAAAAAAAGGAAUUAAAAAUGAAAUUUUUCUAUGAAGUAUUCUAAGUAAAAAUUGAUUGCAAAUUAACCAAUAAUAUCGACCAAAAUUAAUAAGGGGGAGGGGAGUCCCAAGCAAAGAGUUCUACUCACAUUCUUGUUCCUGGAACUGGAAGCUUCGGAGCCGGAGACCGCCCCUUUGAUGAGAUCCAGCUUUCCCUUGGACUGCAUAUUCUCCUGCGCUAUGGCGUGCUGCUGGGGGACCCCAUCCGCCACCGACGAUCCCACCUGCCACACCUGCUUCACCGCCGUGGUCCCCGCUGGCAGUUUCACCUUCCCGAAGACCCGCAUCACCCCGCCGGAGUACUCUGCCGCCAGAUCCGAGGUCUGGAAGUCGAUCGCCCCCUCCGCGAUGGACCCGUAGCCGGUAAUGUUGUACGUCCGUACCCCCAUCGACCCGUUGGGCUGGUGGAACGCGAUCAGGGCCUGGGACCCGAUCAUGCCGUCGGCGGUAGGGUUGAUCGCCCACGCCACCCAGCCCUCCGGCUUGGGCGGCGGCGCCACGAACGCGAGCGAGAGGGUGGCCGCCGUGGCGUCGAAGGACCAGUGGAGCGAGGAGGAGAGGUGGGGGAGGUCGCUACAGGCGGCGUAGACGCGGUUCGAGGAGAAGGUCACGGAUGAGCACGCGCCGGCGGCAGCGGCGGACGAUGCUACUGCGAAGAUGACCAGGAACGCGAGCUGAAACCGUGGAGCGUCCAUGGCUCCGGGAAAGACCCUACGCUUCGUCUUCUUCUUCAGAUGCUUCUCUCGUUCUCUCUGAGAAGGGCGAGUGGCGAGUGAGGCAAAGCUUCGAGCUCGCGCUUUAUAAAGGGGAAGUGAGAGGUUGGGAAGGGGCAAUCGGGGAAUCGUUAUUCUCACCCAAAAUUUUAGCAAUCUGUACUCCACUGAAGGGGACACCGAGGGAGCGAAUUGAGGCUUCUCCGCCACCCUAUGGGCGUACACUUUAUAAUUAGUGUUACCAAAAUAAAAAAAAGUUAAAGGAAGCGAAGACGGAAGUGACGGCACACCUACCGCCAGCACAUUCGUACCCACGACGGGACCCACCGAGUGCGUGUGUGCCCGACGCUUCCUGACGAUACGAUGAAAGCAGAGGGUACAGAGAGGAGAGACUUGGCGUGUGAACGCCGGGGGGACGUGGGAAGAGUUGGGCGCCGCGCGUCACGUCGUUCACAUGUGAUGUGCCGGUGCGUCGGGUCGGUACGUUGACCGCUGAGGAUUAAAUAACAGAGAUGCGAAUGGAAGCAACAGCGGUGGGGGCGGUAAAGUUACCAUAUUCGCCUUGGUGAUGAGGCCAGCGUGGCGUCCGCAUGACGCUUCGAGAAGUGCUGGCCGUGCCAACGUACCGGCCGUCAUAAACAUUGUAACGGACGCUACGAAGACCGACAUGUGGAACAAAUUAGUAGCAUGAUUACAACAUCGUAACUUUGACAUGUAAAACUCAAAAGUGUUCGUGUGGCAUAUGUCACCUCCAAUCAAUGUCAUGCAUUUGUAUGGAUAAAAUGCAGUGGAUAUCAUUAGCAGGUGGAUCUUCCAAAUAGGUUGCAUUGCGUUCUUGCCAAGUCAUGGAGAUAAAUUGUUGUAUUAUCUACGUCAAAAGGCAUGUUUUGUGGAGUAACUUCGAAGUAUCGUCUUUGCAUACAGAAAAAAGAAGAACAAUUUUAGCUUCGGAACAAAGGGAUAAAUGGGAAUACUCAGUUGAAUCCAAAUUUUAAUCCAUAAACAAAAACCUCUUGUUUAGAGGUGUUCAUUAUUUACCGAACAUGAUAGAUCGAAGACGAAGUCACCAAUCAAAGGCAAAACAGAAUAGAAAGAUGAUGAUGCGCUCAACGAUUUGCCUUGGCGACACGCUCUAUCUCGUCCUUCUUCUUAAUAGCAUAGCUGUUGAAAGCAUGAGCAAUAGGACGGCGAUAAGAUAAAUGCGCCAACAAAAGAAUACUCGGGUUACAAGAGCUAAGGAUAGAAGGUCUCACCUGUUGGAAGAACCCUUUGCGGCAUUAAUUAAUUCAUCAGCGAGGCACUCAGCAAUUGUUUUGAUGUUUCGGAAAGCGCUUUCACGAGCACCAGUUGUGAGAAGGUAAAUCGCCUGGUUAACUCGCCUCAAUGGUGAGAUAUCAACCGCCUGACGUCGGACCACACCAGCAGAACCGAUUCGAGUCGCAUCUUCUCUUGGACCACUGAUAUGAAAACAAUAGCAUAAGAAAUACAUCCAUUUUUAAGAACGAACUGUAUUUAUCACAUUCAAACUUGGGAGAAAAGCAGUUGAGAGACUAUGGCACACAAAUUCUGAAAAAUCAUGAUUGGAAGCCACUAUUUAGUACAUAAUUCAAUACUUUAACAGGAACUUGCAUCACUAGAAAAAGAUGCACUUCAAACUAGAUACAAAAAGUGCAAUUACCUAUUAAUAACUGCAUCCACAAUAACUUGAAUUGGGUUUGCAUCAAUAAGCAAAUGAAUAAUUUCCAUUGUAUGCUUAACAAUGCAAACAGCCAUAAGCUUCUUCCCAUUGUUACGACCAUGCAUCAUCAGUGAAUUGGUUAGUCUUUCGAUAAUUGGGCACUAAGCCUUACGGAACCUCUUAACAGAGUACCUUCCUGCAGUAUGUGGAAGAUAAGUGGCAUGCUUUGGAGGAGUCACGGCAAUGUAAUCUGCAAGUGAGAUAUCACUGACCUGCAUUUUGAGGAGAAUAGGAUUGAUCCCAGUAUCCACAGCAUAUGUACUAGGAUAAGAACAAAUUGCCUGUUUUUGUCUUAACGCAACUAGUCAAUAACGAAAUAGAAAUUUUAGCAGACAAUAUACCAUAAACAAAAUCAUAUUAAUAGAGCACCCACUACGAUAUUUGACAUAUUGAAGUCUAAAGUUUCCCUGACCAAAGCAUCAUGCAUAAACAAGGCAGGAGGACUAUAUCGAUCAUUCAAAUUUUUGGAGUAAAUGAACAUCUCAAGAAUACAUCAAGAUGCACUAGGUUGUUCUGCAUUAUGUAAGCAGACUGAUACCAGUUCUAUUCAUCAAGGAUCCUUGACAAAUCCUCAAGCCAAUAUAAGAUGACAAGAGUAAUGAACACUUUGAACUCAAAGAAAAAGAUAUACUAAAGAGUCUACCAGCUCAAUAUCAAUUAAUAAUUAUAAAGGCAUACCCAGUGCACGAUAUCCCGUCAAUGCAAGAUCCGGAGAGGAUCAAUGUACAUAGUUAUUGUACCAAGGCUCACCCUCUUGCCGAUUAAUAAUUAUGACAUUCAAUGAUCAUAUUUCCAUAAUAAUCAAAAAUAUUAUGGCAGUUUUAUAGGAGCAUAGACUUGAUAUUUCAACUGAUGCUCUAUUGAAAUUGUCAAAAUGUUUUCAUCAAAUCCAAUAAUCUUGUCAUUUUUAUCAUCUCUGAAUAGACAAACACAAUGUUCGAAUUGCAAGAACUACCUAUCGUUUGUAUUACAUAAUAUCAACAAUGUUGCAAGUGCUCUAAAGGUUAAUUCUUCUAAUAUCCAUGCUGAUAAAAAUCACCUUCUACCAAGAUUCAUAAACUACAAGACCAAACAAAAAAUAAAAAGCCUGAAACUUUGUUUUCAGCUGAUGCACACAUGAAGUUCUUCAAGCUCAAAUCAUCUCAUUCAAAGUUGUUGCCAACACAAUUAAGAAGACCAAAUCCAUAUUAAAUCUUAAACAAGAUGCUAAAAUUUUGACAACAACAAAACCUAAUAAUCAUUCUUCAUUAUACAUAGUUUAUAGAUUCAAUACAUUCUGUAAAAGAUCAUUAAUCAUAUAGUAGAUAUUUCCAACAAAAACUUGACAAACAAUAGCAUAAAAAAUUCAUGUAUUAGAUAUGGGGGUAACCAGCAGAAAGCACUAGAUUAUUCAGUUUUAGACUCUACUCUGAAUGCCACAGCACUACUUCUCCUAAUAAAAGGAAAUGCAAGAUCCAACCAAGAUGUACAUGAUGGUCCAAUGUUACUAAGAAGAAAGUACGACCCCUGGAAAGCCUAGUUUAUUUUUAUCUAAAUUCUUAAAUCUUCGUCAGACAUACAAUGCUUUCACGUUAUCCAAUCGAUUCUCCAUCGUCCUGUAUUUGAUUCGUUCAAACCAUUAUAUAGUCGACCUAUUUCAAACAAUUUACCCUAGAAACAAAUAAAGAACAAUAAGAACCUCCUAACUGAGCCUCUCGAAGAGAAAAUUCUAUAUACAAAUAUAGAGACAUACAAUAACCAUAAUCCAUUCAUAAAUUAGAAGAAAAAGAAACAAUAACCACCAAAAUGCGAUAUUUUUCAUGAAACAAAGCAGAUGUGACACAAAGGUGAAAGAAGACAAACCACAUACAAUACCGUUCCAUCUCGCAUGAAGCGUAUCGAUCACACGGUCGAAGGAUCAAAGAACAACUACAUUCGACAGAAGGGAACAGUUUACGAGCCAAAAGGACAAAGAACAGAACGGACCUCAACAUCGUCGAAGGACCAGCGAUUGAAGAGCUUAACAUCCUGCUGGAUCGCCAUUGGAGCAGUGCGCGCAGGAAUCCGAGCUCAAGAUUCGAGCAAUAACAGGGGAGGAUCGACGGGGAGCGAAACCACGGCGGCCAAACCCUCGUGGCGACUGAAGCCAAAGAAGGAAGGGUGCCGUGGAGUUUUAGUUGCAUCCAGACGAAGAUCCACACGAAGCGGACGGUACAGAUGAAUCCACGUUACAAACAAGACAAGCAAAUCAAAAUAAAUACAUAAAAGAUUAUAUAUAUAUAUAUAUAUAUAUAUAUAUAUAUAUAUUCCCUACAAAUAUAACAUUUUAUUAUUUUUCUUAAAUUUAAAAUUAAAAAAAGUAUAUAAGUAUAUUCUUGCAAUGGAUAUAUACUUAAUUUUCAUUUAAACGUUAGCUUAAAAAAUACUAAUUAAAUACAUUAUUCUUAUCUGAUAUUUGUUGAUACGAAAAUAUUUUCUCUAAUCCAUAGAUCAACUUGUGAUAGUCAUGUCAUCAGAAAAUAACAAAAGCCACAAUUGACUGUGCCACUAUGUUAACAAAAUUUCAAUAGUUACAUAAAAUAUUUUUUUAAUCAUAAAAAAUUAAGAAAAAAAAUACGAGCUUAGAUAAUGAGAUUAGAUUUUUUUUCUUCAUAUUAUAUAACCAUUGGUUAGUCUAACUUGAACAUCAAAGAGAUACGAGGUCGAAAAUAGACUAUCAUAUAAAAAAAAGAUUUUAAUAUUUGAAAGAAUAUGUAUACCUUAUUAUAUAUUUUUUUAUGAUUUUUCAAGGAUACAUGUGUAAAAAUCCCUCAAGUUAAUGGAUGCUGGGCUUUGGCCCAAAUCACUAUUCAUUUCUUCAAUUGGUUGAACGAACUAUCAACAACUCAAAUUAUUUGCAAGAAUAUUUCUUUAAUUAUUCUUUUUUUGGAACGGAUUUAUUAUAUAUAUAGAUUUAUUCAUAUUUAUAUUUAUAUAUAUGGGAGAAUUAUUAAGGAAAACCUCAUAUAUAUAAUAUAAUAUAAUUUUUCUUGAAAAUAUAAUAUUUUUUUUCUCGUAACCUCUUAUUUCAUCGGUCGGAAAUCUAACACACUUGUGUCACACUCAGUGACCAAAGAAGAAAGAGAAAAAGAAGCAUUAUGAUAGAAUAUUAAGAAAAUAAGUAGUAAAAGAAGACGAUGAAGAUGACGAUGUUUACAUUUGUUAUAUACCGUCCGACAUUAUUUGUCGUAGUAUCUUAAGAAAAGAAAGAUGAUAAGGAUAUUUAUGAUAUCUUAAGAGUAUUAAAAGUCUUAUCAUACAAUGAAUACAGUACAAUAAUAUGCUACAUUUUUUGAUACAUUAUACAUUAUGAUCAUUAACUAUGCAUAAAAGCUGUGAUACUCUUCAUUCUCUUCGGUCAUAUGUGACUUGUUAUAUUUUGAUGAACAUGGUAAAAGAACAGCUCGACAGAUCAUGACGAAGAACAUGGAGGACUGUGAAGCUAAUGAUACUGUUGGAGAAAGAAACCAUGAAGGAGCACAUCGAUCGAUCUGUGUUGGGACUACUGUGCUGACAAUGGGGCACUAUAUUUCGCCUGUCCAUCACGAGAGUACUAAGCACAGCGUUUUAGCUCCCCUUGAGCACUCGAAUCUGUGCUCGAGAACGCAUGCGGACAUCUGACACCAGGUGAGCCGGUUUUUGGAGGCAUCUGUGCUGCCGGAGAUCCCCACACCUCCUAAUUACUGUGCUCAUUGUUAUACGUACUGUGACCGAAGUAAGAAAACGGAUGUGUGUUUGCUUCACUCAUUUACAGUGACCUGAGAGGGAAGAAGAAGAAGAAGAAGUAUGGCGCUCGAUGAUAUGCCUGCAUGCAGGCCGCAGGAAUUAAUACCUUUCAAUGCUUCUGACAUGGGGUUUGUGCUCACUUCAGCUCGAUAAAAGUAAGUAGAGAACUGAGGUAAGUCUCGGUAAAAGCUGCAAUGGAAGUACUGCUGUUCUUACCUGCAUGGCAUUUACCCAUCUACUGUGGAAAGAGUCCCCGCCUUGGAGCUUAAAGAACAAAGCUUCUGUACGUAACAGCUGUUUGAAAGAAUGCUGGCUGCACGGCGACUCUGAUGGCAAUUGGACGAGAACAUGGAGGGCAGGAAUCUGGACAAGGUUGAUGAAGGUGCUGAUGGCGAUGGGGCAGCGGGGAAGCCGACGAAGCACCCCCCCUCGGAGAUCAUGGCCCAUGCACGUGCCCUACAACAGGCAUCUCAUGCUGUAGAAGAUACAUACACCUCUCUCUCUCUCUUCAUGAGUUGUAGCUCUUCUUCCUUCUCGCGCCUCACGGGGAGCGCAUGUGAAGGUGGCGGUGGUGGUGGCUGGCGGUGACAAGGACCACCUCCAGCGUGCAUGACCAGGAGCGAGCAUAGACCGGCACAAAUGGCUUUCCCGAGUGCCCUGUUUGGAAUGUUUGUCUGCGAUCUGUCCGCUCUUCUCAUCCCCACAUUGCAAUCAAUCAUUCUUGCUGUGCGGGCAGAGGUAUCCGUGAAUGAACGCACCAGUUGGGGGCUAAUCAGAGGAUUAGCAGUGAGUGAUACACAUCACAAAGAUUCGAUGCAAUUCUUUGUAGCUUGUCAUGUUGGGAGGAACAGCAAGUGGGGGAGGAUUGGACAUGGAGGAGCAGCAGCUGCUGUAGGCAAGUCCAGAUACAAAAAAAGGACUAGAUUUCAUGGACUGAUGAUGAUUCUGUGGUCCAAUGUGAUUUGACGUUUGAGGUGGUCAUACACCACAGGACGUGCAUGAAUGCAGAGCUGCUUGGGUUCAAACAUUACUGUUCUAAGGCCAACUUUUCUCUCUGCUUAUUGUUUCCCUGAAAUUUUUUGAGAGGCAAAAAAAAAAAAAGCUUGAGAUUGAUUUUGUUUUUGUUUUUCUUUUGGUUAUUAGAAACUUAAAAUUAAAUCUAAUUAUAGAUUAUUCUUAUAAUUAACUAUAUUUAGCAUCACGUUCGUUAUAUAUUUAAAAGUUACAUUGAGAUCUCUAUAGUUACGAAGAUAAAACAUUAAAAUUUCUAUAUAAGGUUAAAAAGAUAAUUCAUAGAGUUAAAAAUAAAUAAACGAAAAUGGUUUUGUUGAAUAAUGAAUUAAGUAUUUUACUUUCGUAAUUAUAAGAAUCUCAAUGUAACUUUGAAAGUAUAAAGAUUGAGAUGCUAAAAGUAGCUAAUUACAUAUGAUAAAUAUAAUUAACGUUCAAAAUCAUUAUCCAAAUGGUACUCGAAUUAUUUCUAAAUAUCCAAUUUAUAUUCUUAAAAAAUAAAUACCGAAUGAGGUCCAAAACCUCUAAUCUUUGAUAAGCGAAUCUUAUACAUCACUAUCAAAUUAAUGUAUUAAAUUUUAAAUUCAUAAUAUUUUAAAAAAAUGAGUAUGAUACAUCACCAUCAUCAUCAUCGAACAAAAGCCUUACAUGUUACAUUUUAUUAAAUAAAAAUUGAAUCAUCAUCCAACAAAUGUUACAUGUUACGAUCGUUUAGCACCAAACGAAAGCAUCAAUAUGUUAAGUACAAAAAACAUCGAACGAGAAUUUAAACCCUUAUUCAAUAAGUGAAUAUGGUACAUAACUACUAAAUUAUGUGCAAUGUUUUAUAGAAAGAGAAACCAAACAUUUCUUUGUAUGUCAAUUUAUGGACAUACUUAUCUUAUUUUAUAGGUAAUAUAAUGAGGCCCUGAGACUAAAGUUUACAUGAAGUUUUGAAGUGCUAUUACAGCAGGAAAGUUGCUUGGUAUUAUUACCACCUGCAGAUAUAGUGGCUGUCACAUCUCCAGAGCUCAUCAGCUGUAAAGAUGCUGCAGUACCAAUGUCCUAUCAAGCACCUAAUUUAAUGUUGUCUCAAUCCAACCUAUAAAAAGUCCAAUUCCAAAUAUCACCAUGCAUAUCAUAUCAAGUCAGGCAAUAUGGUUGCAUGCCACCAAACAUGGGUUGUAUCUCUAAUCCAUUUCAUCAUGAAUGCUUGUCUUCAUGAAUUUAGUUAGUCUUAAGUGAAUCAUAACACAUCAGUUGUGUUUGAUGGAUAACUUUUACCUUGACAUUAAGGUGAAAAAAAUGUCUCAUUUCCUGUGGCCCCCAACCUUGCAUGGAAUCAAUCACAUGCAUUCUAUCCUUGUGGGUUCAGACAGACACAAACACACAGAGGAGGGAGUGGUUCAGUAAAGAGUAAAAAGAAGAAGAAGAAGAAGAUGACUCUCCUCCCCAGAUGGAUUUACUGCUCCAUCAGUACACAGAAUGUAAGGGUUGAAAACCUGAGCUUCUUCUGAGCCAACUUUUUACCCUGCACAUUGCACUAUGUACGUGCAACAAAGAGCCAUCAGUGUUCCUCACCAUGUCAUCUCCUUGCUAUCAUGGUUUUCCCUCAGCUGACAACCUGAAUGAUGAUAUAUAUAUAGAGAGAGAGAGAGAGAGCAGAAGAAGAAGAGAUCACACAGAGAGGUGGAGAGGAUUGUGACAGGUAAUAUAGGAUCACUUCACUAGGAUCGAGUACAGGCACGGGAAGAAGACCAGGGACAAGAACACUCUCAUUCUCAUUGAGUUCCACCAUCCAUCACCUAUGACACACGCAUCUGUAGCGGUAGGCGCUGUUCAUGGGGUCGCCGGCGUCAACAGGAACUUGCUCGGCGCUGCACUUGAAUCGACAGCCUCUGCACUCGUUGUACGUGCAAAUGGGAGCCCUGGACCCGAUCAUCACCCGCCUGUCACCCUAAGCACGAAGGAGAUGAAGGCGUUGGAGCUCACGGCAACAGCAUGGCGAUGGAGAAGACAAGAGAGAGCAACGGCGUUACUACCUCCUCCUCCUUCAGUGGAAGGACAUUCGAGCGGGCGACUUGUCCUCCGAGACCUGCAACACAGGUUUUGCAUCGACGUUGCUCUGCCUCCUCCUUCAGUGGAAGGACACUCGAGCGGGCGACUUGUCCUCCGAGACCUGCAACACACAAGUUUUGCAUCGAAGGUUAAGGGAAGGCGGCAGAAGAGCGGUGACACGAGUGGCGACCUGGUCGGCGAACAGCGCAGACGAGAGUGGUGGAGACGAAGAAGAAGAGGAUGAAGGUGCUGCAGGUGGGGUUUCGGGAGGCCAUAGAGCUGCUGCUGCUGCUGCGAUGGGAAAUGAGAUGUGGAGUACACGGGACGAGGCGCUGAAAACAUAUAAGGAUGCAUGAUGGUAGGGUGAGACUGUCGCCUUGCGGAAGACUUCAUGCCCCCCUUGCAGCGGCGCCUUCAGCCAAGCGCAGCCGAGAGGUCCCCCACCCACCACCUCUGUGCGUGCUUCGCCAUUUACCAAGCUGCCCAUCAAUAAUUCCCUUUGCGUAUCGCUGUCGUCUCAAGAUCCAAAAUUUGUUGCCCUGUCCUCAGCUGUUGUCUCUUCUUCCUCUUCUCUUCGUCAGCAUCCGUUCCUGCUGCUCCUCAGAAACUGUCGAUGCAAGGAUUUCAGACUUGAUGUCACUGUGAUGCUGAUAAUUAAUGCCAUGAGAGGCCAGAGAAUUUGGAUCUAUGAGCUUUUUUAUCUUGUGGAUUAGCAUUUAUGAUUACUGAAUAAGAAGAAGAAUCAAAGUUGAGGUAGUAUCAUCAUAUCUGCUAUGGUAUAUAUGUCAUGUUAGAUGGGACUAAUUUAAAGGCACUUCUCAUUCAAUCCCCCACCCCAAAAAAAAAUAACUUCAAUAAAUUGAUCAUCUUAUCAUUUCUAUUUUACUCUUAAAGGAUCCAAAUAUCGUAUCGAAUAAAUAAAAAUUAUAUCUAAAACAUUUUGGUUUUAUUAUUUGUGGUGGUCAUAAGCUGGAUUCCAAUCUCUCUCUAACUCCUUGAACAGUUGAGACACCCAACACAUGUAAUUAAUUAGUGGUAGAGCAAAGCAAUCGAGGAAGCUAAUCAUUGUCUAUCUCUCUAACUCUCUUUUGUGCCGUACUCUCCAGCGAUGAGGUAUCUAUCUGCAGCUAUGUGCAGAGUCUAUCGUGUGCAGGUCUCCACUCAGUGCUAACGAAGCUAAAGCUGCAGCUACUGUAGUAUACCGUUCUUGUGAGCUUUGGCAGAAGCUGCCACUAUUCAAUGCUUUGAUUGCAUGACUUCAUUUUAGCUUUAGGUGUAGUACAAGUACAGAAGCUAUCACUGUAGUAGAUAACUGCUUGCGAGUGCUGAAAAGGAGGUGAUCGAUGGUAUCCUACUUCUUUUUUCUCUUUGCAUUUUUUAGGUUUUUGGAGUAAUUCAAAUCUUCUUUUUGAUUUUUUGGAAAAAAAGAUUCAUUAAAUUUCAUUAGCACAUUCGUCUUUUGUUAGGAAUAUGAAUAUAUAGAUCAUAUGUUGUUUAACAAAUUAAGCUUUAGAUACAGUGAAAUCGAUAAAAUACUAGUCCAUACGAUCGUAUGCGAUGGCAUCGAUCAUUAUACGGAUGCACCAUUCGAUAAUACGUAUCUGAUAUCGUAUUGAUCUGACUUACUAAUGGGACCGAUAUGAGGAUGAGAUUUAGGAUCUUGGGUUGAAGAAUAAUUGUAAUAAUUACUCGACAACAAAAAAAAAAAAAAUUAUGAUUAUUUUUUUGUCUUUUCCUUUGUGUUCUUUAGGAAAAUGACAUUGUGAACCUCAACAAAUGCAUUUCCUGUUUUCUCUGAGGAAAACGGCAGCAGAAUCAAAUGAUUGAAAUGGCAUGAUGGGAAUUUUGUUUCUUUCUAGCUGUGUUCUGAACUAUUUGUUGGAGGACAAUAACAAGUUGUUUGCUGCAGCAGUGCAGUUCAAUCUGUCGAUGAAUCUUCAAUCAGGAGGAAUCCAAGCAACAUAAGCCGCAAUAGAUAUGGCAGCUAUCCACUUGUUUCCUUGUGUGUGCUGAUCAUUAAGCUGAGCUAAUCUCAAACAUGACAUAGUUCCAAGCUUGAUGUAAUUUGUCCUCAACUUUAGAAUCUUUGUUGACCAUGGCAAAUCACUAUACAGUCCUAAGCAGUAUACAGAUUGUAAGCACAAGAUUCGAUUGACCGAAAAUGUACAUACUAAAUUGCAAGUAUGGUGUGACAAUUAUGGAUCAAUGCCAUUGCAGGAAACCAUGGUACCAUUCACAUGUCCACAGAACACCAUGUUCUUACAGGUGAACAACUCAAACAAUGGUACACUCAGCUAAUUAGCAUGACAAAGGGCUACGAAACUAUGCCGUGUCGACCUAAUUCACAAAUCUAGGUGAAUGUAACUUUAGAUGCAUAAUGCUAUGUCUACAAGACCCACAUGAAAAAGAAAAAUCCUCUAAUUUAAGUACAUUUGUAAGACCGUGGAAUUGCCGGAAAGAACUGAUUUGGGCUUUCUCUCCGAGGAACAUGUAUUUUGAGCUGUGCAGGUGGAGGAUGUACCGAAAGAAGCAAAAUUUGUUUUCUUGACCAUAACGUUAUUUUCCGAUAGGUAGGCAACGUUCAUCUUAUCUUUCAUGUGCAAUCUCAUGGACAUCUCAUAACUCCUCUGGGUAACUGCUAGUCUUUGACAUCAGAUCUUUGUUGAUUGCUUGGUUGACUUCUUCUCGAAGUACCUCUUCUAUCACCAGAGUCAGACCUGAAUGAGAAAGAGUGACGAACAUGGACCCUGUGACUAUUGUGCCUGGUUGUACCAGUGCCUGUGAUAUUCACUGAUAGUUCCACUUCUUUGUCCCUGGUAUUUUCAGUCCACCAAUUCUGUGGGACUCCAUCAACAGAUUGUUCCUGGGUGAGGACAUCUUCAUGAUGGACAGAAACGUCUAUUGUUUGUCCAGGUUUGAGUAUGCCGACUGCUGGUUGAACCUAAAUAGAGAAAAAUAGAGAUAGAGAGCAAGAUGAAAGAUGCCUGAUGUCAUGCGCAGGCAAAACCAACAUAGAUGCUGAUCUAGCAGAAGUUUAGUAAAUGAUGGCAAGACAAGAAUGUCUAAGUACUAUAAUAGUCUAACAGAGAUGACUUAAUAUUGGAAAGAUCAAUGAUUCUUUUACGAUCACCUUGUGGCACAGUUCCCCAAAGAAAAAGUACUGACUUUGCUAAUCAAGUACUUGGAGAAUAUGAAAGUGCAUUUAGAAAUUUGAGUGUGCCAGAUUGAAUUUUUUUGGAUAACUGUUAUAACGCAUUGCGUCUAUCAUAAUUUGAACUUCUAAUAUAUCGGCACCAUGAUAAGGGAUUUCCUUUUUGAUUUAGGCUACCAGGGUUCAAGUUUUGGAGACAAAUCUGUCAGCUUGUAGAGUUAAGUUGCAUUUAUUAAUCCUCCAUAUAUCUCAGAUUGGUGGGAGCAUCAUGCAUAGGCUGCUUACUGUAUAUGGUCAUUAUUGGAUCAGGUCACUACUCAGUUCAUUGGGUGAUAAACUCAAUUCAUCCCUAAUUCUGACCAAAUUGGAUCUCAAAUCAGAUGAGGUUACAGCGGAUUUAGGGGCAUCCCUAUAUAUAUACCACACUUAUAUAAACAUCAUGUGCUGUUUUAAAUAACUUACAUAAUGAAAAAGUCUCACAGUUCAAAAUUCAUUAAAAGAAUCACAGAUCCUAUUAUGCAGAAUAACACAUUUAGUUUAGGAAACAAAUACAUGCUACAAAAAAAUAAAGAUAGCAAUGCAAUGCGGCAAAUGAACUUGUUGAUUUGAGAAAACAAUAACCUUAAAUCAGUCUCACAUCCUAACAAAACUGUCUUUCCUCAAGUUCUCCAAAUCGAGAACACUAGGGGGCAACCAAAAUAUCAGUGAUAUCCAAAUUCUUUUAUCCAUUAGACAAGUUACAGAAGCAGUCUAACAAUGUAUCAGUAUUAACGUACAGCUACUAAAUUACUAAUCUAGGAUACUGCAUAGUGAGAGGAAAAAUAAAUGUCACAAAGAAAACAUGACAUGAAAUUAUUUAUUUGUCAGUUAUAAAUUAGGAAGCCAGAAUGUACCUCAAGCCAGUUAGGAAAGCCAAAGGAGCAUCUAGCACAUAGCUUAGGUGAAUUUUCAUCCCCCUGAACGAUGUACUCGCCUUCGCAAAUAAUUUGGAAGAUAGCUUUGUACUUCUCAGACUUGUUUGUGAUGCGAAGGGUGCCAAUCUCUUGGUUUUUCAGGAUGAUGUCAUUUGUGCCGACACUAAAGUCUGGAAUAGCACGAGAUUCUUCAAGAGAGGACCUUAUUUUCCCAAGAGACAUUGUUAUUUGUCCCCAUACUUCCCUCCUUAUCAAUUCAUCUGCAUGUGCAAUUUCCACAGAGAAUAUGCAUCUCACAGGCUUGUGAUCACUAUCAGUAACAUCCAUACAUGCUUCAUACCUAGUAAGAUAAGAUGCCAUGUUCAUUAGUGACAAACAUUGUUGCUUUUGAUUCUGCAAAAUAGACUUCAAAGUUCAAACAGAAUUUUACAGUGUGAUUGAUGAAACCACAGGGCACUCUAAUGAGCAUUCGGCCACCGAAAUUGAACGGCUAUCACGAUACAAUACUCUGUCACACCAAGCAGGAAUUCGCUUCUUUUCACUGGAAUCAUAUCCUAAGAAAGCAAUUAACAACUUAUCUUCAUUGAAUAUCAUAAGAAACAACAAUGGUAAAAUUUAAAGCCAAGUAACUUGCCAACCGAACAAUAAACAACCACUCAUCACAUCAUACCUUCGUAGGUAUAAGAUAUAAUCUUACCUAAAAUUAUUUAAUAAUUAACCUUCACAUUCUCAUCCAGAAAAACUGAUCUACACAAAAUUAAUUAUGUUACAAGCAUACCUGAUAAGCCCGGUUGGUGCCUUUCGAACUUGUACGUUGGAGGAAAUUUAAUUUGCCCUUCACGCAUUCCUUGGAAGACUUUACCUGCUUUCAUUUCUGCUCGGAGCUGAUCCUUUUCUCUUAGCCAAUCAAAGCAUCUCUGAGAAACCAUGUCCCUGGCUUCAUCGUAAGUGAUACUAUGAAGCCGAUAAUUAAAAUCACCAAGAAAAACGACCAUGUCAGCUUCGGACAGCUCAGGUCUCCCAUCAUCAGGUUGAGAUCCUGUAACCUGCCA
rnacentral:lncRNA from 1 species